GAUGAAGAACGUAGCGAAAUGCGAUACUUGGUGUGAAUUGCAGAAUCCCGUGAGCCAUCGAGUCUUUGAACGCAAGUUGCGCCCGAAGCCAUUAGGCCGAGGGCACGCCUGCCUGGGCGUCACACGUCGUUGCCCCCCCAUCUACUCCUUCGGGAUUGCGGGGGGCGGAUGAUGGCCUCCCGUGCGCCUCGCCGCGCGGUUGGCAUAAAUGCCAAGUCCUCGGCGACGCACGCCACGACAAUCGGUGGUUGCGAAACCUCGGUUGCCCGUCGUGUGCGGUCGUCGCGCAUCGAGGGCUCGAAAAAAUUGCCGGGUUCCGGCUCGGCUUUCAACGCGACCCCAGGUCAGGCGGGGUUACCCGCUGAAUUUAAGCAUAUCAAUAAGCGGAGGA
rnacentral:misc_RNA from 1 species